UGCGUCGACGAACUUUGUCCGACCUCAAACAACAAAACCCCCAUUUAUAAUUCCGCGUGAUGUUUGUGCAAUGUAAAACUUCGUAAAGAUUGUCAAACCUAAAGUAAUUGAUUUUACUAAUUACAUAAAAUAUCAGCCAGGAUACGCUCCGGCACUCCAUUGGAAAAUGUCUGAAUGGAUUUGCUGUUAUUCUUGAUUUUAAAUUGUUCUCAAUCUACAUUUUAGUAAAGAAAGGAAGAAAAAAAGUGAACAGAAAUUACAUCAGGUUUUUUGCACUAACCAUCGGCAAACGGAGAGCUAAGUGUCUGUUGAGUUGGUGGUCCGUUGGAGCGAGUUGUCACGUUGGCGUCACAGCAAAUAAGGCAGAGUGUCCAGGAACCUGUCGAUCAAGGGCGGAGGCGGCACCAGGUCCUCCAGCUUCAGCUCCUCCACGCGCUUGGAGUCCUUCAGGCCCGGAACUUGUUCUGUGAAGGAGACGAUGGGAGGAGAAAUGAAUGAAACGACGCGGGACGUCCCAGCUUACAAAACAGUGUGAAACGGGAAAAUAACGACAACAGCUGCAUUCGGCCUAAUGGUCGCUAAGACUUGGUUUCGGUCAAAGUGAUCGGCGCGGAAUAGGCCUGCACUUCAAUGAUGAUCUGGUUCUGUUGGCUUCAACAAAGCCGUGAUCUUCACUCUCACUGGAGUGGUUCACAAGCAAGUGUGAAGCGGCUGGGCUGAGAAUCAGCACCUUCAAAUCUGAGACCAUGGACCUCAGUUGGAAAAGGGUGGCGUGCCCUCUCCAGGUCGGAUACAGGGUGAGAAGCUCGGUCAUCCGGAGGGGCUCGGUGUCGAGCCGGUGCUCCUCUGCAUUAAGAGGAGCCAGAUGAGGUGGCUGGGACAUCUGAUUCGGAUGCCUGCCGGACGCCUCCCUGGUAAGGUGUUCUGGGCAUAUCCCAACAGAAAGAUAGACCAGAAGACCCCGGGACGACCCAGGACACGCUGGAGAGACUAUGUCUCUCGGCUGGCUUGGGAACGCCUUGGGAUCCCUCCGGAAGAGAUGGAAGAAGUUGCUUGGGAAAGGGAAGUCUGGGUAUCACUGCUGAAUCUACUUCCCCUGCGAGCCGACCUGGA